rnacentral:rRNA from 1 species
UACGUAGGGGGCGAGCGUUGUCCGGAAUUAUUGGGCGUAAAGAGCUCGUAGGCGGCUUGGCAAGUCGGAUGUGAAAACUCCAGGCUCAACCUGGAGCCGCCAUUCGAUACUGCUAUGGCUAGAGUCCGGUAGGGGAGUGUGGAAUUCCCGGUGUAGCGGUGAAAUGCGCAGAUAUCGGGAGGAACACCGAUGGCGAAGGCAGCACUCUGGGCCGGCACUGACGCUGAGGAGCGAAAGCGUGGGGAGCAAACAGG